GGGGGGCGGGGAGCUCUGCAGGCCGCUGUGGUGCAGGGGUGCGCGAGGGCGGGCGUCGCGGCUACCGUCUCACCUCCAUCCCGACGGCUGCGAGGCAGAAAGCGAAAGCGGACACCGAAGAUUUUGGGCCGAGUGAGGACUGUGGAGGCUACCAGAUGCCCACCUGUCGGAGGCCACCAGGCUGCCCUGUCCUAGGGCGACCCCACUCCUCACAGCACCAGGACCUGAGGCCGCUCCCGAGACCAGGAGAAAGCUUCGGCCAAUCAUGAGUACUACUGGGGAUCGUGGGUGCAGGGGAGGCCAUGCUGGGAGUGUAACCCAGGAGCUCAGCAGGGCCUCUCAGAAGUGAGGAGAGACUCCACAGGAGGGACCUACCAGAAUGUAGGUAGCAUCUGCUAGUGGGGGACCAGAUUAAACAGUGUGGAAGAAGGAAGACUACUUGCCCUUGUUAGCCAGGCCUUGCCUCUUGCUGAAGCGUUGGAUGAUGAUGAUGAUGAUGAUGAUGAUGAUGAUGAUGAUGAUGAUAAUGAUGAUGAUGCCUCCACUGAAAACAGAAACGGCCAUUUCAGGCUUCCACCCCAGACCAAGGCCCUUCAAGUCUCCAGGACACUCCAGAUUUUUUGGCGCAGGCUUGGUGACUACCGAGGCAUCUCCAGGACCAGCCAGCUCCCAGAGUCCCAGCCUCAGUGUUGAGACUGUUUCAGAGUAAGCUGAUGUCAUUCAUUCUCUAAUAUAUUUGGUAUAUAAAAUGUUUCAUAUUUUAUAUAGAAAAUCCCAACUUA
ensembl:processed_transcript 1110018N20Rik RIKEN cDNA 1110018N20 gene